AGGGUCAUUGUGAGGAUGAAAUCGUGUACUAUGUGUGAAAGUCCUUUGACAAUAGUAAAGUACCACAGAAUGAAGGUUAAAAAUGGCGAGCUCUUCAAGGCAUUUCACCUCAUCUGCCUUCCCCUCCCUCUCCUCUUGUUUCUGCACCAUCUUGGAUAUGGCCUGUAUACACUGCCCACUUCAGAUUUCCCUACUGGUACUCCUGGUAAAAAUUGACAAUGGGGAACAAGCUGAUUGACUUUUAC